AAGAAGAAGAGUGACGUAUCAAGCGGAUGAGGAUUGAGAUCUGAUGUUCGUGCUGGUCAUAUCGUACGCUUAAAACAGAUAAUACUACAGCUUUCAGAUGUCUGAGCAUGUCUAUGAGAAGUUCCUUGCUCCAGAAGAGCCUUUUCCACUGCUUUCACAGGGAGGAAACUUCAGUGAAAAUGCCACACUGGAUAUUAGUGACUUUGGGUGUCAGUUGUCAUCAUGUCACCGAACAGACCCUUUACACCGCUUUCACAGCAGCAGACAGUACCGCCACAAAUAGUACCCUGUCAUCAUAGCGAC